rnacentral:rRNA from 1 species
CGUAGGGUGCAAGCGUUAAUCGGAAUUACUGGGCGUAAAGCGUGCGCAGGCGGCUUUGCAAGACAGAUGUGAAAUCCCCGGGCUUAACCUGGGAACUGCAUUUGUGACUGCAUGGCUGGAGUGCGGCAGAGGGGGAUGGAAUUCCGCGUGUAGCAGUGAAAUGCGUAGAUAUGCGGAGGAACACCGAUGGCGAAGGCAAUCCCCUGGGCCUGCACUGACGCUCAUGCACGAAAGCGUGGGGAGCAAACAGGAUUAGAUACCCUGGUAGUCCACGCCCUAAACGAUGUCAACUGGUUGUUGGACGGCUUGCUGUUCUGUAACGAAGCUAACGCGUGAAGUUGACCGCCUGGGGAGUACGGCCGCAAGGUUG